UGUAAGCGUAUACCAAAGUUGUUGCAGUUAAAACGCUCGUAGUCGGAAUUUGGCAGUUCCGGAUGUGUGCACGUCGUGUGCGCACUUCGCGGGGAUUGCUUUUGUGGUCUUGCGUAGGAUGAGGCACUUUUAUUAGUGAACGUCCUCACGCAACCACUUUUUACUGUGAGAAAAUCAGAGUGCUCAAAGCAGGCAUUUGCCGUGAAUGUAUUAGCAUGGAAUAAUAGAAUAGGACUUGGUUCUAUUUUGUUGGUUUGUUGGGACUGAGUAAUGAUUAAGAGGGACAGUUGGGGGCAUUUGUAUUUCGGUGCUAGAGGUGAAAUUCUUAGAUUAGCGAAAGACAAACUGCUGCGAAAGCGUCUGCCAAGGAUGUUUUCAUUGA
rnacentral:rRNA from 1 species